rnacentral:rRNA from 1 species
AACGAACGCUGGCGGCGUGCUUAACACAUGCAAGUCGAACGGAACGGCCCUGCUUUGGUGGGGUGGUCGAGUGGCGAACGGGUGAGUAACACGUGGGUACCCUACCCUUGACUUUGGGAUAACUUCAGGAAACUUGGGCUAAUACCGGAUAGGAGCUCCUGCUGCUUGGUGGGGGUUGGAAAGUUUCGGCGGUUGGUGAUGGACUCGCGGCUUAUCAGCUUGUUGGUGGGGUAGUGGCUUACCAAGGCCUUGCCCGGUAGCCGUCCUGAGAGGGUGAGAGGCCAAGCUGGGCUUGAGAUACGGCCCAGACUCGUAUGGGAGGCAGGGGUGGGGAAUAGUGUACAAUGCGAGGAAGCAUGACGUAGCACAGCCGUGUGGGGUAUGAGGGCAAUCGGGUUGUAAAGCGCUGCCGCUUUUGACGAAGCGUGAGUGACGGUAACGGGUAAAGAAGCACCGGCUAACUACGUG